UACGUAGGGGGGCAAGCGUUGUCCGGAAUUAUUGGGCGUAAAGAGCGCGUAGGCGGUCCGAUAAGUCGGCUGUGAAAGUCAGGGGCUCAACCCUUGAAAGCCGGCCGAUACUGUCGGACUAGAGUCCGGAAGAGGCAAGUGGAAUUCCCGGUGUAGCGGUGAAAUGCGCAGAUAUCGGGAGGAACACCAAUGGCGAAGGCAGCUUGCUGGGACGGUACUACG
rnacentral:rRNA from 1 species